rnacentral:lncRNA from 1 species
AUGGGAAAAAAUGGGCAAAAUGGGGAAAAACGGGGAAAAAUGGGGAAAAAUGGAAAAAAAAUGGAAAAAAAACUGAAAAAAAAUGGGGAGAAAAUGGGAAAUAAUGGGGUAAAAGGGGUUUGGGAUUGUGGGGAAGUGACAUUCCUGGAGGUCUUGUGCUUUGCCCGGGAAAAUGGUCAGAAAAACGGGGAAAAUGGGAAAAAAUGGGGAAAAUGGGGAAAAAUGGGAAAAAAUGGGAAAAAUGGGAAUAAAUGGGGAAAAAAUGGGAAAAAAUGGGGUAAAAGGGGUUUGGGAUCGUGGGGAGGUGAUGUUCCUGGAGGCCUCGAGAUUCGCACAGGAAAACGGUCAGAAAAACAGGGAAAACGGGAAAAAAUGGGCAAAACGGGGAAAAAUGGGGAAAAAUGGGAAAAAAUGGAAAAAAAUGGGAAAAAUGGGAAAAAAUGGGGGAAAAUGGGUUUGGGAUCGUGGGGAGGUGACGUUCCUGGAGGCCUCGAGAUUCGCCCAGGAAAAUGGUCCGGAAAAUGGGGAAAAUGGGAAAAAAUGGGCAAAAUGGGGAAAAACGGGGAAAAAAUGGGAAAAAAAAUGGAAAAAAAGGGGAAAAAUAGGGAUAAAAUGGGAAAAAAUGGGGAGAAAAUGGGAAAUAAUGGGGUAAACGGGUUUGGGAUCGUGGGAGGUGACAUUCCUGGAGGCCUCGAGAUUUGCCUGAGAAAAUGGUCAGAAAAAUGGGGAAAAUGGGAAAAAAUGGGCAAAACGGGGAAAAACGGGGAAAAAAUGGGAAAAAACGGAAAAAAAUGGAAAAAAAACGGGAAAAAAUGGGGAGAAAAUGGGAUAAAAUGCGGUAAAAGGGGUUUGGGAUCAUGGGAGGUGACAUUCCUGGAGGCCUCGAGAUUUGUCCGGAAAAACGGUCAGAAAAACAGGGAAAAUGGGAAAAAAAUGGGGAAAACGGGGAAAAAAUGGGAAAAAAAGGGAAAAAUAUGGAAAAAAUGGGGAGAAAAUGGGAAAUAA